CAGUAGCCACGGGAAUACGUAGGUGGCGAGCGUUGUCCGGAAUCAUUGGGCGUAAAGGGAGCGCAGGCGGGCAUAUAAGUCUUUCUUAAAAGUGCGGGGCUCAACCCCGUGAGGGGAUGUAAACUGUAUGCCUUGAGUGCAGGAGAGGAAAGCGGAAUUCCCAGUGUAGCGGUGAAAUGCGUAGAUAUUGGGAGGAACACCAGUGGCGAAGGCGGCUUUCUGGACUGCAACUGACGCUGAGGCUCGAAAGCCAGGGGAGCGAACGGGAUUAGAUACCCCUGUAGUCCCUGUCUCUUAUACA
rnacentral:rRNA from 1 species